AACUUUCAGCAACGGAUCACUUGGCUCUCGCAUCGAUGAAGAACGCAGCGAAAUGCGAUACGUAAUGUGAAUUGCAGAUUUCAGUGAAUCAUCGAAUCUUUGAACGCACCUUGCGCUCCUUGGUAUUCCGAGCAGCAUGCCUGUUUGAGUGUCAUUAAUAUAUAUAUAUAUCAAACUUCUCUUGUUGAUUGGUUUGGAGGUGGGGUGUUUGCUGGCCUUUUUAGAAAAGUUCAGCUCCUCUGAAAUGCAUUAGCAGAACAAACCUUGUUCAUUGGUGUGAUAACUAUCUACGCUAUUGAAUGUGAGGGGCAGUUCAGCUUUCUAACAGUCCUCGGACAAUUCAAUCAUUAAUGUGACCUCAAAUCAGGUAGGACUACCCGCUGAACUUAAGCAUAUCAAUAAGCGGAGGCU
rnacentral:misc_RNA from 1 species